AUUGAACGCUGGCGGCAGGCUUGACACAUGCAAGUCGAGCGGGGGAAGGUAGCUUGCUACUGGACCUAGCGGCGGACGGGUGAGUAAUGCUUAGGAAUCUGCCCAUUAGUGGGGGACAACAUCUCGAAAGGGAUGCUAAUACCGCAUACGUCCUACGGGAGAAAGCAGGGGAACUUCGGACCUUGCACGAAUAGAUGAGCCUAAGUCGGAUUAGCUAGUUGGUGGGGUAAAGGCCUACCAAGGCGACGAUCUGUAGCGGGUCUGAGAGGAUGUUCCGCCCCACUGGGACUUAGAAACGGCCCAGACUCCUACGGGAGGCAGCAGUGGGGAAUAUUGGACAAUGGGGGGAACCCUGAUCCAGCCAUGCCGCGUGUGUGAAGAAGGCCUUAUGGUUGUAAAGCACUUUAAGCGAGGAGGAGGCUACUUUAGUUAAUACCUAGAGAUAGUGGACGUUACUCGCAGAAUAAGCACCGGCUAACUCUGUGCCAGCCGCCGCCGUAA
rnacentral:rRNA from 1 species